rnacentral:rRNA from 1 species
GACAGAGGGUGCAAACGUUGUUCGGAAUUACUGGGCGUAAAGCGUGCGCAGGCGGUUGGUGCAAGACAGAUGUGAAAUCCCCGGGCUCAACCUGGGAACUGCAUUUGUGACUGCACGGCUGGAGUGCGGCAGAGGGGGAUGGAAUUCCGCGUGUAGCAGUGAAAUGCGUAGAUAUGCGGAGGAACACCGAUGGCGAAGGCAAUCCCCUGGGCCUGCACUGACGCUCAUGCACGAAAGCGUGGGGAGCAAACAGG